UGAACUACUUAAGCUUAAUUUGUUAAACUCCGAGUCUCACUCUGUUGCCCAAGCUAGAGUGCAGUGAAGCCGCGACAUCCCAGGCUCAAGUGAUCCUCCCACCUCAGCUUCCUGAGUAGCCUAGAAUCUUGUAUAAUAUGUAAUUGUAGGGAAACUGCUCUCAUAGGAAAGUUUUCUGCUUUUUAAAUACAAAAAUACAUAAAAAUACAUAAAAUCUGAUGAUGAAUAUAAAAAAGUAACCAACCUCAUUGGAACAAGUAUUAACAUUUUGGAAUAUGUUUUAUUAGUUUUGUGAUGUACUGUUUUACAAUUUUUACCAUUUUUUUCAGUAAUUACUGUAAAAUGGUAUUAUUGGAAUGAAACUAUAUUUCCUCAUGUGCUGAUUUGUCUUAUUUUUUUCAUACUUUCCCACUGGUGCUAUUUUUAUUUCCAAUGGAUAUUUCUGUAUUACUAGGGAGGCAUUUACAGUCCUCUAAUGUUGAUUAAUAUGUGAAAAGAAAUUGUACCAAUUUUACUAAAUUAUGCAGUUUAAAAUGGAUGAUUUUAUGUUAUGUGGAUUUCAUUUCAAUAAAAAAAAACUCUUAUCAAAAAA
rnacentral:lncRNA from 1 species